rnacentral:rRNA from 1 species
GACGAACCGAGCGGACGUUGUUCGGAAUCACUGGGCGUAAAGGGCGUGUAGGCGGUCAGGUAAGUGGGAUGUGAAAUGCCCCGGCUCACCCGGGGACCGGCAUCCCAUACUGCUUGGCUUGAGUACGGGAGAGGAUGUGGGAAUUCCUGGUGUAGCGGUGAAAUGCGUAGAUAUCAGGAGGAACACCGGUGGCGAAGGCGCACAUCUGGCCCGAUACUGACGCUGAGGCGCGAAAGCUAGGGGAGCAAACGGG